CCUACGGGGUGCAGCAGUGAGGAAUAUUGGUCAAUGGACGCAAGUCUGAACCAGCCAUGCCGCGUGCAGGAAGACGGCUCUAUGAGUUGUAAACUGCUUUUGUACGAGGGUAAACGCAGAUACGCGUAUCUGUCUGAAAGUAUCGUACGAAUAAGGAUCGGCUAACUCCGUGCCAGCAGCCGCGGUAAUACGGAGGAUUCAAGCGUUAUCCGGAUUUAUUGGGUUUAAAGGGAGCGUAGGCGGUCGGUUAAGUUAGAGGUGAAAUCCUGAGGCUCAACUUCGGAAUUGCCUCUGAUACUGGUAGGCUAGAGAGUAGUUGCGGUAGGCGGAAUGUAUGGUGUAGCGGUGAAAUGCUUAGAGAUCAUACAGAACACCGAUUGCGAAGGCAGCUUACCAAGCUACUUCUGACAUUGAGGCACGAAAGCGUGGGGAGCAAACAGGAUUAGAUACCCGGGUAGUC
rnacentral:rRNA from 1 species